ACUGAACGCGGCGAUGAAGCCCGCCGACAAUGCGCCGCCCGGCUGAUGGCUUCUACCGAGUU
rnacentral:ncRNA from 17 species